UACGGGGGGGGCAAGCGUUGUUCGGAAUUACUGGGCGUAAAGGGCGCGUAGGCGGCCAUCUAAGUCAGACGUGAAAUCCCUCGGCUCAACCGAGGAACUGCGUCUGAUACUGGAAGGCUUGAAUCCGGGAGAGGGAUGUGGAAUUCCAGGUGUAGCGGUGAAAUGCGUAGAUAUCUGGAGGAACACCGGUGGCGAAGGCGGCAUCCUGGACCGGUAUUGACGCUGAGGCGCGAAAGCUAGGGGGGCAAACGGG
rnacentral:rRNA from 1 species